rnacentral:rRNA from 1 species
AUGGCUGUAGUCGCCGCCGCCGCGUGCGUGGUGCUGCUUCUUUUGACCGGCAAUGGAUGCGAUGCUGCCCGGCCCGUAACCACCAGUGACAAGUUCACAAACCACCAGACACCGAGAGAAUCGGACCAGGCCUACUACGGGGUGAUCGUCACGAUGGAUGUCUACGGUUUGCACCUGAGCGAUGAGCAGUCCAGCGUGUCCUCGGUUUGGCUCAGGGACGAAGGAGAUGGCGCACUGAGCAGCCACAAUGCGAUCGAGAUUGGCUGGGAGACCGACGGUUUCCAAAAGACUCGCUGCCACAAUACCAACUGCACCGUAGGUUUUCAGCCAGCAAAUGGUGCACCCAUUGGUCUUGGGGACGUGAUCCAGACCCUUUCCCAGCCCAAGGGUCUCAAGCAGAAUAUCACCCUUAAAGUUAUCAAGGACGACCUUGCACUGAUCGGCCGUUUCCCUAGGACGAUAUUCACCGGAGGGAUGGCGGAUCGAGCAUCCGGUAUCCGCUUUGGCGGCUAUGUGUCGACCCGCACAACGGAUCUCGCGCCCAUGGAAAGUGGUUACCUUCCUACUACUGAUGUGAUGGUGGCCGCGUCCAUUAGCAAUAUCCAGUUCAUUGACAGGAACGGGCAGGCCUUAGUGGUGACGCAAGAUUUGCCCACGUACAUGAGUGACCCGAAUAUCUAUGCCGUUACCCCCAUUGUCGAUGGGAGGUUCUUCUAUGGGGGGCCCUUACAGUCGUCGGUUUGA